CGUUAAGCCUUACCUGCUUUGUCUAUCCAGGCACGGUAGCCAUUCAACUCUCGCUCUAUCUGUUGCUGGCGCCGCAGCUUCAUGAAUGCUCUUCGGUUCUCCACUCUCUCUCUUUCUUUGGCAAAUUCCCUGUGGACAACAAGGAGGACAGUCCCCUGAAUUUGCACAAUGCCAUGAUGAAAAGAAAGAGUGUAGCAAGAACGAGUAUUUGAUAGUUUCUGUUCACCCCAUUUCGUUCAUCUCCUUUCUCUUUAUCCAAGCUGCAAGAUGAUCUCCCUCUAGUGUUCUACAGAAGGGAGUCACAUCCACCUCAGGCAUGAGGACUCCCCAUCCUUAGCCCUGCUUGCUCUGUACUAAAAGGAACUUUUUUUUAGUUAUGUGACAAACUGCUUCAGAAUGCCUCAGUCCAUGUCUUCAGCCAUAAUGGAAUCCUUCAACCUCUCAAAGACACUGUUCUCCUUCAUGCUUUUGAGUGUCUUCUGACUUGGUCUUAUCAUUCCCUCAGUGUCCAGAACUGAUGUGAUGCUUAGAAGGAACUCAACUAAUAUUUACUGAAUGAACAAACACAGAAGAAACUUUUCAUACAGGACUUUGGGAGCAGUUUGGAAGCAUCAAGGAGCUGUCACCCUAGACUACAACCUCCACCCCAGAAGAGAGUUCUAAAACCUUUCAAAGUUCUUCACUAAGCCUAUUCAUACAUUUCUACCCAGGAGUAGAUAGGCUCCUCACAGUGUGGUUAUGUUCAGAGUCUAUGGACCAAACACCAUCAGCACACUCUUUGCUGUCCCUCCUCAAUGAGACACAUUCAGAACUGAAAAGCACUCAGUAACUUUCAGAACAAUUGGACAGAAAUUUUAUGUCUGUUAAAUAUAAGAAUAAAAAU